rnacentral:rRNA from 1 species
GAUGAACGCUGGCGGCGUGCCUAAUACAUGCAAGUCGAGCGAACAGAUGAGGAGCUUGCUCCUCUGACGUUAGCGGCGGACGGGUGAGUAACACGUGGAUAACCUACCUAUAAGACUGGGAUAACUUCGGGAAACCGGAGCUAAUACCGGAUAAUAUAUUGAACCGCAUGGUUCAAUAGUGAAAGACGGUUUUGCUGUCACUUAUAGAUGGAUCCGCGCCGCAUUAGCUAGUUGGUAAGGUAACGGCUUACCAAGGCAACGAUGCGUAGCCGACCUGAGAGGGUGAUCGGCCACACUGGAACUGAGACACGGUCCAGACUCCUACGGGAGGCAGCAGUAGGGAAUCUUCCGCAGUGGGCGAAAGCCUGACGGAGCAACGCCGCGUGAGUGAUGAAGGUCUUCGGAUCGUAAAACUCUGUUAUUAGGGAAGAACAAAUGUGUGAGUAACUAUGCACGUCUUGACGGUACCUAAUCAGAAAGCCACGGCUAACUACGUG